GGCUCCUCCUGGCCCCGCUGCUGCCGCUGCUCGUUCUGGGGGCCGGGGGCGCUGCGGGGCCCCCGGGGCGGCUCCCGGAGGACGCGGAGCAGGAGCACGGCUAUUACCUGCGGCAGCUCUUCGGUGCCUACGGCGAGAACGGCACGCUGCCCUCCGCGGGGCUGGCGCGGCUGCUGGGCAGCCUCGGGCUGGGCCGGGUGCAGGUGGUGCAGAUCCAGCACGAGGAGCUCGGCCACGGCCACGUCAGCCACCUGGACCUGCUGGAGGUGCAGCAGGACAAGCACCGGCACCGGCACCCGCUGUGGGAGCACGGCGGGGAAACGGCUCCGAGCACCGGCGGGACCCUCAGGUAACGGGGGGGACCCUUAUGGUACCGGGGGAACCCUUCAGGUAACGGGGGAACCCUUUACGUAACGGGGGAACCCCUCAGGAACGGGGGAACCCCUCAGGUAAUGGGGGGACCCCUCAGGUAACGGGGGAACCCUUCAGGUAACGGGGGGGACCCCUCAGGUACCGGGGGAACCCUUCAGGAACGGGGGGACCCCUUCAGAUAACGGGGGAACCCCUCAGGAACGGGGGGACCCCUCAGGUAACGGGGGGGACCCUUAUGGUACCGGGGGAACCCUUCAGGAACGGGGGGACCCCUCAGGUAACGGGGGAACCCUUCAGGUAACGGGGAACCCUUCAGAUAACGGGGGAACCCCUCAGGAACGGGGGGACCCUUCAGGUAAUGGGGGAGCCCUUCAGGUACCGGGGGAACCCCUCAGGUAACGGGGGGACCCCUCAGGAACCGGGGGGUUCCAUCCCCGAGGGGCUGCGCUGGGCAAGGGGGAGCUCAGAGCAGGAACGGGAACGGAGAUGGGAACGGGAACGGGAAUGCGGGACGGGAGCGGGGAACGGGGACCGGAAUGGGAGUGGGGAACGGGGACGGAGAAGGGAAUGGGAACGGGAACGGGAACGGGAACGGGAUGGAUUCGGAAACGGGGACGGAGAUGGGAACGGGAACGGGGACGGAGAUGGGAACGGGGACGGAGAUGGGAACGGGGACGAGAACGGGAACGGGGAGCGGGGAGCGGGAAUGGCAACAGGAGCGGGGACGGGGAUGGGAACGGAAACGGCGCCAGGUAACGGGAGCAGGGAUGGGAACGGGAACGGGAACGGGAACAGAGCUGACGAUCCGUUGACCCCAGCCCCCCCAUUUCUCGCAGCCCCCCGCCCUCCCAGACACCGAGCUGGCCCCAACCGGAGCCCACCGAGCCCCCCGGUGCUGCGGGGGUUCCCCGGGAGUACCGGCCCACCCUCAGCCUGCUGGGGAGGGUGCUGGGCUUGGAGCACUCCAGCGCCGACCACCCGCACGAUGAUUGCCUGAACGUGACGCAGCUGCUGGGGAAUUUCGGGCUGGACUCGGUGGCGCAGCUCACACCGGAGCAGUUCACGCUGCUCUGCCCGGCGCUGCUCUACCAGAUCGACAGCCGCGUCUGCAUCCGGCACCGCGAUGAGGUGGCGCCGCCACCCCCGGGGGGCGCCCUGUGGCCAGGUAACGCCAGCCCGGGGCUCCGAGCCGGCCCCGCGCCCACCUCCCCCGGCCCUGGGGUCCCCGAGUUUGUCCCCGGGUCCGGGGUCCCCAGGUUCCCUGUCCCCGAUGUGGGGGAGUCCAUUCCUGCAUCCUCAAGGGAUCCCCAUCCCUGUGUCCCUCUGGCCCCCAAUUCCUGAUCCUGGGGUCUCCAUCCUUGGGGUUCGCGUCCCUAAAUCCCUGGGGUUCCCAUCCCUGGGCUUCCCCAUUCCCACAUCCCUGGGGUCUCCAUUCCUGGGGUUCCCCAUUCCCACAUCCCCGGGACCCCAUUCCUGAUCCUGGGGUCCCCCCAUUCCUUGGGUUCUCCUCCCUAAAUCCCUGAGUUCCCCAUCCCUGGGAUCCUCAUUCCCGCAUCCCUGUGGUCCCCAUUUCCGGGAUCCUCAUUCCCAAAUCCCUGGGGUCUCUGUCCCUAAAUCCCUGAGGUCCCCAUCCCUGAGUCCCCACCUCCCUGGGACCCCUAUUGCCCCAUCCCUGAGUUCCCCAUCCCUGGGGUCCUCAUUCCCACAUCCCUGGGGUCCUCAUCCCUAAAUCCUUGGGGUUCCCAUCCCUGGGACCCCCAUUCCCCCAUCCCUGGAUCCCCAUCCCCACCUCCCUGGGGUCCCUGUCCCUAAAUCCCUGAGGUCCCCAUACCUGAGUCCCCACCUCCCUGGGGUCUCUGUCCCUAAAUCCCCGCGGUCUCCACCCCUGGAUCCCCAUCCCCACCUCCCCACGCCCCCUCCGGGUGCCCCGUCCGUGCCGUGCCCUGACGGUGCCCGCAGCUCUGGGCUGGGCGCUGCUGGCCGUGCUCUCGGUCAGC
ensembl:lncRNA